AAAUUGAAGAGUUUGAUCAUGGCUCAGAUUGAACGCUGGCGGCAGGCCUAACACAUGCAAGUCGAGCGGCAGCGACAACAUUGAACCUUCGGGGGAUUUGUUGGGCGGCGAGCGGCGGACGGGUGAGUAAUGCCUAGGAAAUUGCCCUGAUGUGGGGGAUAACCAUUGGAAACGAUGGCUAAUACCGCAUGAUGCCUACGGGCCAAAGAGGGGGACCUUCGGGCCUCUCGCGUCAGGAUAUGCCUAGGUGGGAUUAG
rnacentral:rRNA from 1 species